rnacentral:rRNA from 1 species
CGGCCGCGUCGACGUGAGUGUGGAUCUGCAUGAGUGUGAGUGUGGAUAGGCAUGAGUGUGAGUGUGGAUAGGCAUGAGUGUGAGUGUGGAUAUGCAGGAGUGUGAGUGUGGAUAGGCAUGAGUGUGAGUGUGAUUCUGCAUGAGUGUGUGUGGAUAUGCAUGAGUGUGAGUGUGGAUAGGCGUGAAAGGCCAAUCAAACUCCGUGAUAGCUGGUUCUCCCGAAAUGCAUUUAGGUGCAGCGUCACGUGUUCAGUUAUGGAGGUAGAGCACUGAAUGGGCUAGGGCCCACAAGGUACGACCAAUCAAACUCCGAAUACCAUAACUCCAGAGCGUGGCAGUGAGACCAUGGGGGAUGAGCUUCAUGGUCGAGAGGGAAACAGCCCAGACCGCCGGCUAAGGCCCCUAAU